rnacentral:rRNA from 1 species
GUUUAUCAAAAACAUGUCCUUUAGAGUUAAAUUUAAGGUCUAACCUGCCCNCUGAUAAAUUUAAAUGGCCGCAGUAUUUUAACUGUGCAAAGGUAGCAUAAUCAUUAGUUUUUUAAUUGGAGACUUGUAUGAAGGGUUGGACAAGAUAUAUAUUGUUUCAUAUAAAUUUAUAGAAUUUUAUUUUUUAGUUAAAAAGCUAAAAUUUUAUUAAAAGACGAGAAGACCCUAUAGAUCUUUAUAAUUAUUAAAUUUUAUUUAUUAAGAAUAUUUUAUAUUUAAUUUGUAUAAUUGUUUUAUUGGGGUGAUAGUAAGAUUAAUUUAACUCUUAUGUAAUUAAUACAUAAAUUAAUGAUUAGUUGAUCCAAUAUUAUUGAUUAAUAAAAUAAGUUACCUUAGGGAUAACAGCGUAAUUUUUUUGGAGAGUUCCUAUCGAUAAAAAAGAUUGCGACCUCGAUGUUGGAUUAAGAGAUAGGCUUGGGCGCAGCCGUUCAAGUUUAAAGUCUGUUCGACUUUUUAAUUCUUACAUGAUCUGAGUUCAAACCGGA